rnacentral:rRNA from 1 species
GCCGAGAAUUUUUCACAAUGGGCGAAAGCCUGAUGGAGCGACGCCGCGUGGGGGAUGAAUGGCUUCGGCCCGUAAACCCCUGUCAUUCGCGAGCAAACGUUAUUAUUUAAAAGAUGAUAGCCUGAUAGUAGCGAAAGAGGAAGGGACGGCUAACUCUGUGCCAGCAGCCGCGGUAAUACAGAGGUCCCAAGCGUUGUUCGGAUUUACUGGGCGUAAAGGGUGCGUAGGUGGUGGGGUAAGUCGGAUGUGCAAUCUCCGAGCUCAACUCGGAAAGUGCAUUGGAAACUACCCUGCUCGAGGGUUGGAGGGGGGACUGGAAUACUUGGUGUAGCAGUGAAAUGCGUAGAUAUCAAGUGGAACACCAGUGGCGAAGGCGAGUCCCUGGACAACUCCCGACACUGAGGCACGAAAGCUAGGGGAGCAAACAG